GAUGAACGCUGGCGGCGUGCCUAAUACAUGCAAGUCGAGCGAACAGACGAGGAGCUUGCUCCUCUGACGUUAGCGGCGGACGGGUGAGUAACACGUGGAUAACCUACCUAUAAGACUGGGAUAACUUCGGGAAGCCGGAGCUAAUACCGGAUAAUAUAUCGAACCGCAUGGUUCAAUAGUGAAAGACGGUUUUGCUGUCACUUAUAGAUGGAUCCGCGCCGCAUUAGCUAGUUGGUAAGGUAACGGCUUACCAAGGCAACGAUGCGUAGCCGACCUGAGAGGGUGAUCGGCCACACUGGAACUGAGACACGGUCCAGACUCCUACGGGAGGCAGCAGUAGGGAAUCUUCCGCAAUGGGCGAAAGCCUGACGGAGCAACGCCGCGUGAGUGAUGAAGGUCUUCGGAUCGUAAAACUCUGUUAUUAGGGAAGAACAAAUGUGUAAGUAACUAUGCACGUCUUGACGGUACCUAAUCAGAAAGCCACGGCUAACUACGUG
rnacentral:rRNA from 1 species